rnacentral:sRNA from 18 species
GACUUUGCGACUCCAGUCCGAGCGUUAAGCGAAGGGCUGAUGGCUGGUGGCUUAUGCCACCGGCCU